UUCUCUCCACUCACUCCUCCACCUUAUAUACUCCCUCACACUCUUCUCCUACUCUCCCCCACGAAAAUGCUGCUGCCCCUUGCUCCCAUGGCCGGCCAUGGCCAUGGAAGGCACUCCAAGAUGAAGCUCCCUCCUCCCUCAAGCUCCUCCUCACCAUGAGAGCCUCCCUCUCCUUCUUCUCCCCAACCCUAGAUGGUUUUCUCUCCUCUUCCUCUUCCUCCAUUGCUAAGAUUGGAUCUUGAUGCAGGUGCAUGUUGGUCCAAGCAUGGAGAAGCUUGAGCUAUCCUCAGAUCUGAAGUUCUUGAGCAAAAUCCAAAUCGAGUGAUUCAAAGUUCCGCAGAUACAUACGGAAAAUAUCUACAACUUGGAGUUGGUCUCAUCCUCAAAUUCUUUACGGAUUGUCCGUGGUGAAAGCCCUCUUCAAUACCUUCAUUUUGGCGGUGGUUUCACUUCGAUUGACCUCCUGAAACUGAAAUGGUUCACAGGUCAAGAUCUAGUCAGAUCUGACUUUGUCGAAUUAAACCAGGAGCUUGGGAACAAAUCUUUGAGUGAAACAAAUUGGGGGAUGUUUGGUUUAUACCAUGGUGAUAACCGAGAGAGGCAAUUGCUAAGUUGUGAUGCACUCAUACCUCUACUAGAUGCGAACAAUUCCGGAGAAGAAGAAGAAGUGGAAUUGGACAAGGAUUUUAUUUAUAUUGUUGGGAUUCUUAUAUUGAUAGAGUUGAAGAAGUACAGGGACAAAUAAGCCAAG